rnacentral:piRNA from 1 species
UGAAUGUUGUCAGUUUCCUGAGCUUCCCGA